AAAUGCAAAAGAAAAAGCUAACCUCGUAGUAAACCAUUUCAUAUUCGUCGAGAGAGAUAAAAUAGUAUUCCUCUCUCUCUCUCACCUAGCUAGCUAAGAACGAAGAUGCAGCAAUCCAAUGAAUUCUCAAAUUUUCGAUAAUUCUUCAUCCCCAAUUCAAUUCUCCACAUACUCAACCAAUUGAAUUUCAAUCCAACAAGGAGAUUAGCUCCAUUUUCAAUUUCACCUAUUUCAUACGAGGAUUUGGCUUGAGGUUCAAUUUCAUUUGAAAUUGAUUCAGACAUCAGUUGAGAGCUUGGGCUUUUAGUCGUUGAGCUGUCUAACAAGGUGAGAAUCCCGUAGCCUCUGAGGAUUCUUCAGCUUCAAUUCCGGCUACCAAUAUUAGAACAAAGAAGCUCUUUGUCACCGCUUAAGGAUUCAAAGAUACCAAAGGUAGAAGCAUUUAAAGUUUCGGGAAAAAAGCUGCAAUAAUUUCCUCUUGAGACAGGUUUUACUUUUCUGCUAUCCAUUUAUGUCGUUGAAACCUUGAUCGAAGUUUGGGAAACAGGAAAAGAAAAAAUGAAGUUGAGAUAGAGAUCUUCAUUCUGCUGGCUAAUAUGUAGGCUUAAUAAAUGUGUAGUUGAUUGGAAUCUGUUUAUAUUCUUGACAAGUGAUAUCUUUCAAGUUCACUUUUGUAUAUCCAACAUCUAGUUUUGUAUAUUUCAGCUAAUUGAAAGCUGCAAAAUCAAAUUGAAUAAUAAAAUUUAUGUUUUGUAUAUCCAA